UGGCUCAGAUUGAACGCUGGCGGCAGGCCUAACACAUGCAAGUCGAGCGGUAACAGAAAGUAGCUUGCUACUUUGCUGACGAGCGGCGGACGGGUGAGUAAUGCUUGGGAACAUGCCUUGAGGUGGGGGACAACAGUUGGAAACGACUGCUAAUACCGCAUAAUGUCUACGGACCAAAGGGGGCUUCGGCUCUCGCCUUUAGAUUGGCCCAAGUGGGAUUAGCUAGUUGGUGAGGUAAUGGCUCACCAAGGCGACGAUCCCUAGCUGGUUUGAGAGGAUGAUCAGCCACACUGGGACUGAGACACGGCCCAGACUCCUACGGGAGGCAGCAGUGGGGAAUAUUGCACAAUGGGCGCAAGCCUGAUGCAGCCAUGCCGCGUGUGUGAAGAAGGCCUUCGGGUUGUAAAGCACUUUCAGUCAGGAGGAAAGGUUAGUAGUUAAUACCUGCUAGCUGUGACGUUACUGACAGAAGAAGCACCGGCUAACUCCGUGCCAGCAGCCGCGGUAAUACGGAGGGUGCGAGCGUUAAUCGGAAUUACUGGGCGUAAAGCGUACGCAGGCGGUUUGUUAAGCGAGAUGUGAAAGCCCCGGGCUCAACCUGGGAACUGCAUUUCGAACUGGCAAACUAGAGUGUGAUAGAGGGUGGUAGAAUUUCAGGUGUAGCGGUGAAAUGCGUAGAGAUCUGAAGG
rnacentral:rRNA from 1 species